GAUGAACGCUGGCGGCGUGCCUAAUACAUGCAAGUCGAGCGAACAGACGAGGAGCUUGCUCCUCUGACGUUAGCGGCGGACGGGUGAGUAACACGUGGAUAACCUACCUAUAAGACUGGGAUAACUUCGGGAAACCGGAGCUAAUACCGGAUAAUAUAUUGAACCGCAUGGUUCAAUAGUGAAAGACGGUUUUGCUGUCACUUAUAGAUGGAUCCGCGCCGCAUUAGCUAGUUGGUAAGGUAACGGCUUACCAAGGCAACGAUGCGUAGCCGACCUGAGAGGGUGAUGGGCCACCCGGAAAGGGAGACACGCCCCAGCCUCCUGGGGGGGGGCCGAGAGGGAAAUCUGGUGCAGUGGACAAAAGUUGGAAGGCGCGCAGCAGAGUGAGUCGGGAGGGUAUCAGGAUCGUAAAUUUGUGUAUUUAGGGAGAAAAAAGUAUGAAGGAAUCAAGGCGCCUAUUGACGGCCACUAAUCAGAAGCCCAGGCUCAUCUUGGAC
rnacentral:rRNA from 1 species